rfam:Camelus ferus unplaced genomic scaffold scaffold743, whole genome shotgun sequence.
GAGGGUGUAGCUCAGUGGUAGAGUGUGUGCUGAGCAUGCACGAGGUCCUGGGUUCAAUUCCUAGUACCUCCA